UGGCGGACGGGUGAGUAACGCGUGGGCAACCUGGCCUGUACAGGGGGAUAACACUUAGAAAUAGGUGCUAAUACCGCAUAACGGGAGAAGCCGCAUGGCUUUUCCCUGAAAACUCCGGUGGUACAGGAUGGGCCCGCGUCUGAUUAGCCAGUUGGCAGGGUAACGGCCUACCAAAGCGACGAUCAGUAGCCGGCCUGAGAGGGCGGACGGCCACACUGGGACUGAGACACGGCCCAGACUCCUACGGGAGGCAGCAG
rnacentral:rRNA from 1 species